GCCAAGUCUACGGACAAAGUCCGAGCUUGCGGACAGGCUCCGGCCGACAGCGUCCGGCAGCGCGGCAGGGCCCCGCCCCCGCGCGGGGGCACGCUUCCCGACGCAGUUCUCGCGCGCUGAUCCCUGGAGCACCCCUGGGGCUGGUCAUCCCUCUCUGGUCCGCCGUUCAGAGGUCAGCGGAGCUUGGAAGGGCCUGGCCCCUGUGGGUUUGACACACGAAGCCAUGACCCUGGGCCUCCGUCUCCCAGCUGUAACAUGAAGAAAGGAAGACUUUCCUCAAGGAGUGUAGUACAACAUUCACUGAAAUCAAGGGUGUAAUGCUCAGAGUGAAACGGCACUGGGAGCAGGGCUUGGUGGGAGUGCCGCCCCCUCAUGUUUCCUGGCAUCUCAGACUGUGGAAGCAGAGUGGAUUGUCUACUCAGAGGGGAUCGGGCCGAGAAUAUUUUCUGAAAGUGGAUGAGGCUGAGUAGCUCAUGUGCUGUGGAAGGGACUCCUGCAAAUGAGGACAACUUAGGUUUAUUGAGUGUUUUCUACGUGCUGGACCCGUGAACAGCACACACAGUGCCUCCUCUCCUGGUUUCCAGUCACUCCCCAGACGGACACAGGUGAGGGCUGUGGAGGAGACAGGGUGCCAGCAAAGCCCCAGCAAGCACGUGUGUGGGGCACAUAAUGGGGAUCAGGAGGUCAGCAAAUUCCCUGAGCAAGGUCAUCUGAGCCAGGCGAGAAAUGAGAGGAGCGUGGAUGUAGCUGCUGGCCAUCGACUUGAAUUUGUGAAGUCUCUGGAACUUUUUGAUACCCCUCAACCUGGGCCAGACUUGGCUUCUUGUCCCCUCUCCUGGAAGUCCCUCACCUCUCAGACAUGAGGAACUCCGAUUUGAACCUGGAGUUAGGAUCUGGGGCUCUGAGCCACUAACUGGAGGUGCAAACUGUGAGGGCAGAUUUGGGAUCUCCUGGGGUCCCUGAAUCUUCUAAUGCUCCUGAGAUUAGAGAUGCUUCAGAAGUCCCAGCCUUUGUAAGCAGGUAAGUUGGUUUUGAAGUCCCUUGUGAGCCAAGAAGAGGAAGCAGGGAGCAGCUGGCUGUGAGGAGGAGGCUGAGCACAUGGUGGGCCUGGGGGCAGGGGCUGGGUGGUGCUGGAUGAUGGUGUGGCCUCAGGAUGACCCAGGACAGCCACAGUGAGGGUUGCACCUUCAUUCAUUUAUUUCAAGGUUGUAUCUGUAGCACUUCCUAGGACCGGGUCCUGUUCUAAUUACAUGUAGUGACAACAGUAUGAAUUCAUGUGAUUCUCAUUAAAAGCUUGGGAUGGAGAUGCUGUUAAUCUGUCCAUUUUGUAGAUGAGGAAACAUGCAGAGAAAGUCAAGAAACUUGAGUCAGGUCGUCACAGAGAGUGGCCCAGCCUUGGACGGAACUCAGUACUCAGGCCUCAGAGUCUGCCCUGCCCAGGACCCUAAGUUGCCUCCUCCCCCACCCUGAGCACUAAGCCAUUUGCAGGUCUCUUCUGUGACCAGGACUCAUUUUACCUCCUGCGCUGCUCUGUUUCCACUGGGUCUUUUACGCUGAUGCAGAAAUCUUCUUGAAAGAUAUUGAGGAUGGGAGGAGGGUACAGCUCAGUGGUAGAGUGCGUGCCCAGCAUGCACAAGGUCCUGGGCUCAACCCCUGGUCCUCCGUCAAAAAUAAUUAAAAAGCAAAUGAAUGAAUGAACUGAAUUACCUUCUCCCCCGCCAGUAAAUACAUAAAAUAAAAAAUUAUGAAGAGAAAGAAACAAUAAAAAAGAGAUUGAGAAUAAGGAUUAACCUGUGAGUGGGACUGACUGGGCACCUGGGUGCAGGACCAUGUCUUUGGUCUCUCGCAGGAAAGGGCCGAGUGGAUUGAAAUUCAGGUGAACUAAGCAAGGAACAAAGGCAGCACUGGGUGCCUGUGACGGGACCCAUUGUCUCCUUGAGGAGGAGACAAACUCCGAGGCCUCUCGGUGCCUCCUGGUCCCAGCUCAGCAGCCGACAGGAGCUGGCACGUCCUCCGCGGUGAGGGGCCUGCGUCCGGGCCCUCUGUCCUGGGGCAGCACUGGUGGCUGUGAAUAAUGGAGAGACGGAGGCCGGUCUCUGCCCCAGGGCCCCGGUGCUGAGAAGGAAGUGCCUGCUUUCUGGGCAGAGUGGGCUGUGCUGCAGGUGCCUUAGGGGUGGGAAGGAAAGGGGUGUUUUUUCCCAAGCAGACCUAACGGUUGUCUAGCACCACAGAGGCCUUUUAAAGGGCUGGGAGGAGCCCAGGCCCAGUGCUUUCCUGCAGUCAGGGUUGUGGGGGUCCCGCCAGCCCAUCAGCAUAAGGAUCAGGAAGGGAAGGCCCCUCUCCUCCUGGGACUGUUGCCAGCCCUCCCCCUGCCCUCUCCCUGGGCCCCAGGGCUCUGGGCUGGCCCUGCCUGCUGCCCUGUCUCUCUCCCCAGCCCCGAGGAAAUGGAGGAUUUCUGCAGCCGCUCUGUGCUCUGCCAUCUCACCUGCCUGCUCCUCCUCGUCCAGCUGCCCACUGCGGGGUCCGUAGGUGAGUGUCCCCGUCCCUCUUCCGGGGCCCUCUUGGGUGGAUGGGAGCCACCCAGCAGCUGGGCUGGUUUGUCCAUCAGGAGUGGAUGGCUGUUUGAAGAGUCCCUUCUCUGGAAAGAUUAUGCUCCCCUAGCCGAUAAUUGUAAUUAAAUAUUUAAGAACAAUCUAAACCAUAAAAUAAGGGUAAGGGACUUUGAUAAUUGCUCAGUGAGGAGUUUAUGAUGUUUUCAAAAGUCAACUAUCAAAAAUGUGACAAUUCCUUUCCAUUCAUUUUUUGUUUCCUGGCUUCAUUUUAUUAAGCAUUUGCUCAUUCAUUCAUUCAUGCCAUUCCACAUACAUUUAUAGGGUGUGGACUUUGCAUUAGGUGCUAUAUUUAAAUAAAACAGGCACAUUUCCUAUUUUUAUGGCGAUUACAGUAGAGCAGGAAGCAAUGAAUAAUAAA